rnacentral:rRNA from 1 species
AUUGAACGCUGGCGGCAGGCUUAACACAUGCAAGUCGAGCGGAGAUGAGGUGCUUGCACCUUAUCUUAGCGGCGGACGGGUGAGUAAUGCUUAGGAAUCUGCCUAUUAGUGGGGGACAACAUUCCGAAAGGAAUGCUAAUACCGCAUACGUCCUACGGGAGAAAGCAGGGGAUCUUCGGACCUUGCGCUAAUAGAUGAGCCUAAGUCGGAUUGGCUAGUUGGUGGGGUAAAGGCCUACCAAGGCGACGAUCUGUAGCGGGUCUGAGAGGAUGAUCCGCCACACUGGGACUGAGACACGGCCCAGACUCCUACGGGAGGCAGCAGUGGGGAAUAUUGGACAAUGGGGGGAACCCUGAUCCAGCCAUGCCGCGUGUGUGAAGAAGGCCUUAUGGUUGUAAAGCACUUUAAGCGAGGAGGAGGCUACUGAGACUAAUACUCUUGGAUAGUGGACGUUACUCGCAGAAUAAGCACCGGCUAACUCUGUGCCAGCCGCCGCUGUAAAAC